AGGCAUAGUAACAGGUAGUGAAUAUGUGGACUUGUCCUUGAAAUAUCAUGGAUUUUUAGGGGAAGGUGUCACCAACUCUUCUGUUCUGGUUGUCAAAACUCAUGAAUAUGGAAACACAACAUUGAUGAAAUAUGACAGAGCUGUUUUAUUAGUCAGAGCACCUGAAGAGGCACUUUUAGCAGAAUUCAACAGAAGAUAUGCAGGUCAUCUUGGACAUGCGCAGAAAUUGCAUUUUAAGAAAGGUAAUUUUUUUAAGAAAAAAAAAGACAAAUAGACAACUUUCGAGUUCGAUGCAUUUCCGUCAAAAAAUCUGGUUUUAGUGAACAUCAUUCGUGCGUUUAGGGGCAUCGUCACUUCCGUUCCUAUGUUGAGCGAGUGGUUAGAAAACUAUAAUGCUAUAUUGCAUGAAUUAUUCGGCAAAUUAAAUUCUCAUAAUUGACAAUCAGCACUGCUGUCACUAAGGAAUUAUGAUUACAUGUAAGUACUGCAAAACAAACACAUAUUUCUA
rnacentral:lncRNA from 1 species